rnacentral:lncRNA from 1 species
AUUUCAUAAUCAGAAUCUGAAAUGGAGACAACCUUAAUCACUAUUUCAAGUGAGAAUAUACAGAUACUGUUCUCCUUAUUGCAAAAGAAUGUUAGGAAGAUUUUUGAUAUAAAAUUAAGCAAGAUGUUAAGCAAUAUGGACUUUUAAAACUAUUUUUCAUGCUAAGGAGAUCAUUGUUUUUUUCUGACUUAUAACUGUUAUUGAUUUUAUUUUAGCAUAUCUCAUCUAAUUUGACAUGCAAAUUUUCAAAAAGAAAUAUGAGGAAAUAUGAGUUUGUGUGUUAAUUGACAAAGUAGAUACGGGGUAUUUUAAUAUUCAAAUGAAUUUUGCCCUAGUAUCUUUUGAUGGAUUUGCCCUAGCAUCCUAGCAUCUAUGCUUUAAGAAGAAAAUUAAUAAACAAAUGCAAAAGAGUACUAUCAGCCUCUUCUCAAAAAAGAGAGGUAUUGAAGUAAUGUAGAAAUGCUUCAUUCUUAAACAACACAGUCAGGUGAGCUCAGCCCAAGGACUUGGACUAUGAACACCACAUUUGGUGUGUGACUUCAUGAUUUAAUGUCACUCUGUUAGCCCUUGUCGGCACAACUGAAAAAACUGAAAAUUCAGGCGGCUUCAGUCCCAGUACCAUCUAAGUUGGCCUCCAACUUGGUGUUCUUCUAGAUUGCAAAACAAAAAUCAUACAAAAUUAACAGACUUCCAGUCAAACUUAGUUAAACACAUGCUUUUCUAACUACCUUUUAUUGCCUUCCUUUUCUAGGUCUGUAGGGAUUUUACACUGCAUAUCUGGAAAAACAAGUCACCGUUUAAACACUAAGUCUACAGCAUGAAUGGUCUGGAGAGCAACGUUUUCUGUCGAUAGCAGUUUCUGUCUGGUGUGAUGCCCCAUUCUUGUGCUGAUGCUACUUGUAGCACUGAGCAGUACUGGAAAGGAGAAAAGGUCUCUUGGAAUAAGAACAAAUUGGAGCUGGGAAGACAAAAGAAAAUACAUAUGAAGAACUUAGAACUGAGAACCCUGGGGAAGAGGCUCUUGCUUGGAGAGGACCCUUUGGUGGAAUACCUUGAAGAAGGGCUAUAGGUGCCUGCCUGCCUUUCAGUUUUGCAGUGGAAUCACUGAUCAUUCUUACCACCUCACAACCUACAGGUAAGUCUGAGAUCGUUAUUUAAAGUUUCCAUUGCCAUGUAACCACUGACAAAUUCAGCG